rnacentral:misc_RNA from 1 species
GAUGAAGAACGUAGCGAAAUGCGAUAAGUAAUGUGAAUUGCAGAAUUCAGUGAAUCAUCGAAUCUUUGAACGCACAUUGCGCCCGUCAGUAUUCUGGCGGCAUGCCUGUUCGAGCGUCAUUACGCCCCUCAAGUCCCCUGUGGACUUGGUGUUGGGGAUCGGCGAGGCUGGUUUUCCAGCACAGCCGUCCCUUAAAUUAAUUGGCGGUCUCGCCGUGGCCCUCCUCUGCGCAGUAGUAAAACACUCGCAACAGGAGCCCGGCGCGGUCCACUGCCGUAAAACCCCCCAACUUUUUAUAGUUGACCUCGAAUCAGGUAGGACUACCCGCUGAACUUAAGCAUAUCAAUAAGCGGAGGA